AACGAGGGCUUAACUGUCUCCCUUUUCAAGUCAAUGAAAUUGAUCUGCCCGUGCAGAAGCGGGUAUAUAAAUACAAGACGAGAAGCCUUUGGAGCUUAAGAUUAAAAAUCAACUAUGUCAAAUAUUUACUAAAAAACUAAAUAGUACUGAUCAUAUCUUCGGUUGGGGCGACCACGGAAUAAAAACAAACUUCCACAUGGACUGAGGUCUAACCUUAAACCAAGAAAGACAUUUCUAAGUCACAGAAUUUCUGACCACACAGAUCCGGCCAAUAAUGCCGAUCAAUGGACCAAGUUACCCCUAGGGAUAACAGCGCAAUCCCCUCAAGAGAAAAUAUCGACAAGGGGGUUUACGACCUCGAUGUUGGAUCAGGACAUCCUAAUGGUGCAGCCGCUAUUAAGGUCCUCUUUGUUCAACGAUUAAAGUCCUACGUGAUCUGAGUUCAGAC
rnacentral:rRNA from 1 species